GUGUCAAUGGCACAUUGUGCAUUUCUCUUCAUACCGCCAAUUUAUUGAUUUGUUUUGGACUUCAGCCAUGAAAACAAUAAAAUACCUAUAUAUCUUGGAUGCAAUGAUGUUACUACUACUUUGGUGUUGGAUCUAUAGGCUCUUUAUCAGAUGUUAUUUUCCUUGGGCAUUCCUUCUACUGGUUUUGGCUUUUGAAUGUGCUCAUCAUGUUACAUUGAUCCAUUUCUGCUCAUUUCAGUCAUGAUUUUGUUGUAGGUUGUAUGCUCUAUCUAUUAGCUGAUGUAACUUUC
rnacentral:lncRNA from 1 species